rnacentral:rRNA from 1 species
UACAGAGGUCCAGCAGCUGUUCGGUCGAUUCAUUGGGCGUAAAGGGUGCGUAGGCGGCGCGGUAAGUCGGGUGUGAAAUCUCGGAGCUUAACUCCGAAACUGCAUUCGAUACUGCCGUGCUUGAGGACUGGAGAGGAGACUGGAAUUUACGGUGUAGCGGUGAAAUGCGUAGAUAUCGUAAGGAAGACCAGUGGCGAAGGCGGGUCUCUGGACAGUUCCUGACGCUGAGGCACGAAGGUCAGGGGAGCAAACGGG